CCUGGACUCCAGUACUGGGUCAUUUCAUUUUCCUUGAAACCUGAGCAACUCUCCGGGCCCUCCGGGUCUUUGCUGUUGGGUGAGAGAGCUGCGUCCGCGGCGGGCUCGUGGUCACUCUCCCGGGGUCUGGGCAGAGGUUCCCGCAGCCCUGACCGGAAGAAAGGAAUGAAUAAAUGCGACUCGCGGGCCAGCUCACAUAGGACCUACCCUGAGCUGGGAGGUGCUGGGGCAAACCUGCAAGGCAAGCACUCUGCAUGUGAGCCAGCUGCCCAGCCUGAUGUACCUUCUACUUGGAAUUGAGCUCGUACUGCCUUUCUGUGUUUACCUCCACCAGCAGCAGGGAUAUUAUUUUGACUCAGUUUUGCUUGUUGCCCUGGCUAGCCCUGAACUCAUAGCUAUCCUCCUGGCUUAAUAAUAUAUAGUUUCUUCCUUCUUUCGUGUGUGUGUGUGUGUGUGUGUGUGUGUGUGUGUGUGUGUGUGUGUAUUGACCCUGUGGCCUGGUGCAUGGCAGGCAGGCACUCUACCACUGGACUCUGUCCCAGCCCCCACCUUCUCAGCUGUGAAUCUAUUUUCAGUGAAUUGUGAAGAUGUGCAUAUUUU